rnacentral:rRNA from 1 species
CUUAUGAAGUUAGCGGCGGACGGGUGAGUAACACGUGGGUAACCUGCCCAUAAGACUGGGAUAACUCCGGGAAACCGGGGCUAAUACCGGAUAACAUUUUGAACCGCAUGGUUCGAAAUUGAAAGGCGGCUUCGGCUGUCACUUAUGGAUGGACCCGCGUCGCAUUAGCUAGUUGGUGAGGUAACGGCUCACCAAGGCAACGAUGCGUAGCCGACCUGAGAGGGUGAUCGGCCA